UCGCCGCACAUUCCUGGCCGACUCCUUCCCCGCCGACUCCGACUCCUCCCCCUCCCCCUCCCCUCCGGGCUACUAACCUCACGACCCUUCCCUCCCGGCGGUCGCAACCUCACGGGAAUUUCAGCAGCCCAGCAGCCCCUUCCUUCCCUUUUCCUGGCCGGCUCUUCCAUCGGACUAGAAGCCUGUUCAAUCUUCGACGCCACCUCCUCGGAGGCAUUCUUCUGCGGCUACAAAUCACUUCUGCCAUCCCCGGCCAUGGCCUCACCUGACAUGCCUGAGCCUUCCAGCCCGGAGUGUACCAUUGUAACCGACGAACAGAUAAUGGAUGAGCUCAAGAAGGAAAUGGCUAUCAAUUCCGGCAUUGGACAGAUUGAUAUGAUAGAAGAAGACGCAGUUAGCCUAGGUGAUGAUGACAACCUGCAUAAUUCGUGUCAGGAACAAGCGAGGACAGAUGAAGACGACCAACAAUCAUGCAAUGAGAUGUCCUGGUUAAAAUUAUUUGAUAAUAUCAAGGAAAUCAUACAGCAAGUCUUGAAGAACUUUUCUUUCAAGUCAUUGGAAAGAGCUGAAGCAUUUUACAAGUUUUUUAUGCUCAUGAGAUGGUUUUCGGUGUCAGGAAAAAAGGAGCUAGUUCGAACAAGACUAGCAGGGUUAUAACAUCAAGAAGAUAAGUGUGCAUAAGAAAGGGUUUACACGAACCACGAUUCCUCAACUUGCAAUCCAGGAAAAAGACCACCGAGGCCAUUAAUGAGGUGCAACUGCAAGGCACACAUUCAAUUCAAGCGCAAGAAAGAUGGCAGGUACUUGGUGUCAAAGUUUGAGCCCCGACACAACCAUGAUCUUGUAGCAAAAGAGAAUGUCCAACAUCUCAGGUGCUUCAGAAAUAUCCCAGAUCCAAAAAAAAAAAAAAACUGCAUAAGGAAGAGGUUAAGGAUGGGGACUCUGAAACCGUGCUGGCAUAUCUAUAUGGAAAGAAAACUUCUGAUCCAUCCUUCUUUUUCGAAUAUACAAGGGACAAAGAAGGCAGGCUCGAGAAGCUGUUUUGGUGCAAAGGGACAUCUCGUGCGAACUAUGUAAAUUUGGAGAUGUAAUUGCUUUUGACACAACUUACAAGUCUAAAGCUUAUAACAAGCCCUUUUUGUCGUUAUAGUCGGAAUCAAUCAUCAUCAGAAGAAGCUCAUAUUUGGUUGUGCCUUGGCAGUACAUGAGGAUGAGAAUUAGUUCAGCUGGGUGCUUAUGCGAGUGAUUGAGGUGGGAAACAGGAAAGAGCCAGUGUCGGUGUUGACUGACGGGAACAAUGCCAUGGCAAAUGCAAUUAAGGAAGUUCUCCCUAAAGCAAAACACCUGUUGUGCCUCUGGCAUCUAAUGCGAAACAUCAAGGUGAAAAAUGGUGGCAAUAAGUUUGCUGGUGGUUUUUUUGAUAUGUUUACAAGUUUCGAAAGCCAGAGGACUUUGAGUUAGCUUAGAGGAAACUCGUUGGGGUAAAUGGAGUCAAGGACAAAAGGUGGGCCAAUGAAUUAUAUGACGAUAGAGAGAAGUGGGCAGAGGCAUUUAUGGGGGGGGGGGGGCACUUUUUUGCUGGAAUCAGGAGCACGCAACGCUGUGAAUCUAUGCACAGAUCACUGAAGAGAGUGCUAGAACAAAAGUUGAUGUUGUAUAGAUUUAUCCAGUUGUAUGAUCAACGGCUUGCCGAGAUGCGAUACAAUGAAUACUUAGAUGAUUUCAACACCUUGCACAGUGAACCGGUUAUCGAUGGAGCACUUGCCAGUGUAAAAGCUCAUGCGGAUAAGUUGUACACGAGAAAUUCGUACAAUAUACUGUGCCAGGAGAUGAAGUACGAGGCCAUGUACGUGGUUAAAUGGGAGAAAUCGCUUUCCGACGGCCCAAGUGAGCCAAUCUUUUGUUGGUUACAAGAAGUUGAGCAUCGACAUACCUGGUAUGUUGUGGGACGACACGAUGGCUACAAUACAAUGGAUUGCUGUUGUGCAAAAUUUGAGUCCACUGGGUAUCCAUGCCGUCAUAUUUUUGUCGUCUUGAAGUAUGCGGGAAUGAAAGAAAUCCCUGGCAGGUGCAUUGCCAUGCGUUGGACCAAACACGCUAAGCCAGAAGUCAUUUCCAGGGAACUAAAUUCUCAGUGUGAAAGAGACCCUGCAGUCAUGGCUCAGUAUGCUUUCCUAAGCGCAUGUGCUAAUGAAAUUUGCUAGAAAGCAGCAGCGACUCUUGAAGGCUUCAAGGAGAUGCAGGAAACAUUUUCUAGGAUAUCUCACCAGCUUAAAGAGAGACGUGCUAAAACAAGCAAGAAAGAAGAUGUUAUGACACGGUUUGGAGUUGGUGAUCCCGGGGUCGUAAUAACAAAGGGUGUGAAGAAGAAACAAAUUGAAAAGAUGUCGUAAAUGUAGCAAAAUCGGUCACACACAAUGGACAUCCCAGGAAAGGAUGGCAACACUGAAAAUCUAACACUGAUUUAAAAAGGAUGCAAAAGGAAGAAGAUCAACAAAUGGGUCAGUCAAUCAACUGCAGAUGAUGACAUGCCUGAUGGCUCAGAGGAAGGGGGUUUGAUGCAAUACAAGCCUAAUACAUACACGGAGGGAGAGUUUCGAGAGGUUAUGAACGAUCAAAAUAUUCGUAGUAUGGAUGUUGAUCCCACAAUUAUAGAUUGGAGUCCAGACAGAGAAUGGUAAAAAAGUAAGUCAUGCAACUUUUUACUUCUGUGAUCUGAUAAUCUGUAUGGUUACAAUUUUGUUGAAGUACAAUUCCAGCAUAGGGCUGUAAGGGCUGUGAAGAUAUCCUUUGAAAAAACUUAUUGCUGAUGAUUUUUGUAGACGAGUCUUUUUGAAUCUUCUGAAAGUAUAUAUACUGAUGUACACUAGUAAUUUAAUGAUAACAUGAGUUUGAACAUGAGUUUAUUCCUCUCAAACUUCUAUUUGGUAUCAGAGCCUCCAGGGUUCUAAGACAUCUCCCGUGGCUAGUCAGACCACUCAAUUGGCUUUUCCUUUCCCAGAUACUGUUAAUGUAGUAAACUUCUUUACUCUCAAGCUUACUGAGAACAAGUACUUCUUGUGGGAGACAUAUGUAAUGUCUCUAGUCGAAAGCCUGGACUUGCUAGGUUUCCUGAAUGGGGAGACCGUCCCACCUGCGAAGAUGGUGCAACGGGAUGGAGCAGGAGUCAAGAACCCAGACUAUACGUGUUGGGUAUAUAUUGACCAAUUGGUAAAGUCGUGGAUUAUUCGCACACUGUCGGAGGAAGUUCUUGGUCAUGCUGUUGGAUUGACCACGGCAGCUUGGAGACCAAUAAUAGACUCUUCUGGUUUCUCCAUAAAGGACUCAUUGAAGAACAGGCUUCUUUUGAAGGGCGCAACUAAUCAAGGGCUCUACACAACUAUGAUCCACAGUUUGCUGUGUUCUUCUCUCAGAGGAAUAAAUCUCUGAAUUCUCUUACGUGGCAUCAUCGGCAUGGACACACGAACAACUGCAUGCUGUAGCAGUUGAAGCAGAAGAAUUUGAUUUCAUUGAAUAAGAUGUCAGGGUCGUUAUCUACGAGUUGUCAUAUCAGUAAAAGCUCUAAACUACCCUUUUUGUUUAUCUGAUAGGCGGUCUAGGUUUCCACUUGAGAAGAUCUAUUGUGACCACGUAAAUAGAACAGGCAGUAAGCAUUAUUUUCUCUUCUUGCAGUACCUGUAUACCCACUACUUGUAUAUAUACUGAUGUACACCAGUAAUUUAAUGAUAACGUGAGUUUAUUCUUCUCAAA